rnacentral:rRNA from 1 species
GUAGGGGGCAAGCGUUGUCCGGAUUUAUUGGGCGUAAAGAGCGUGUAGGCGGCCAGGUAGGUCCGUUGUGAAAACUGGAGGCUCAACCUCCAGACGUCGAUGGAAACCAUCUGGCUAGAGUCCGGAAGAGGAGAGUGGAAUUCCUGGUGUAGCGGUGAAAUGCGCAGAUAUCAGGAAGAACACCCGUGGCGAAGGCGGCUCUCUGGGACGGUACUGACGCUGAGACGCGAAAGCGUGGGGAGCGAACAGGAUUAGAUACCCUGGUAGUCCACGCCGUAAACGAUGAGUGCUAGGUGUGGGGGGUGUCGACUCCCUCCGUGCCGAAGCUAACGCAUUAAGCACUCCGCCUGGGGAGUACGGCCGCAAGGCUAAA